rnacentral:rRNA from 5 species
CCUGGCGGCAAUAGCGCGGUGGUCCCACCUGACCCCAUGCCGAACUCAGAAGUGAAACGCCGUAGCGCCGAUGGUAGUGUGGGG